UACAGAGGGUGCGAGCGUUGUCCGGAAUCAUUGGGCGUAAAGGGCGCGUAGGUGGCCCGGUCAGUCAGUGGUGAAAGCGCGGGGCUCAACUCCGCGUCGGCCAUUGAUACUGCUGGGCUUGAGCACUGUAGAGGCAGGCGGAAUUCCGGGUGUAGCGGUGGAAUGCGUAGAGAUCCGGAAGAACACCGGUGGCGAAGGCGGCCUGCUGGGCAGUAGCUGACACUGAGGCGCGACAGCGUGGGGAGCAAACAGG
rnacentral:rRNA from 1 species